UGAUGCUAAAGUAAUAAUUGCAAUCCUUUCAAUUUAUGGGUAUCUCUAUAAUCAUACUCACAUGUAUGGAUUUAUGUGUUACUCGUCAGGUUCGGAAGCGGCAACGAGCAUCGCGACUCCACGUAGGGAGUGAACUCGUGUUGGUACCUUUUUGGUUGGGCCUCGAGUGAUUUCUUUUCAGGUGCGUGACGGCAUGCGGGUCCACUGCAGAGUCUAGACACGAGUUGUGUAUAUAGUAGUCUAGCUUUUUGACUCUUUUGAUUAUGUGCCUAUUUUUGGAGCUUGUAUAUGUUGUAAAUACUUGUGGGCACGCCUUGUAUGACAGUUAUUUCCGUAUAUAUGCAAGUUAAGUUUUUUUUUAA